GAUGAACGCUGGCGGCGUGCCUAAUACAUGCAAGUAGAACGCUGAGGUAGGAGCUUGCUCUUCUGGAUGAGUUGCGAACGGGUGAGUAACGCGUAGGUAACCUGCCUGGUAGCGGGGGAUAACUCUUGGAAACGCUGGCUAAUACCGCAUGACAACAGUUAUUGCAUGAUGACUGUUUAAAAGGGGCAACUGUUCCACUACCAGAUGGACCUGCGUUGUAUUAGCUGGUUGGUGAGGUAACGGCUCCACAAGGCGGCGACAUAUAGCCGACCUGAGAGGGGGGUCGGCCACACUGGGACUGAGACACGGCACAGGCUCCCUAGGGAAGGAGCCAUAGGGAAACUUCGGGCAUGGACGGAAGUCUGACCGAGCAACGCCGCGUGAGGGAAGAAGGUUUUCGGAUCGGAAAGCUCUGUUGUAAGGGAAGAAAGAGUGUGAGAGUGGAAAGUUCACACUGUGACGGUAUCUUACCAGAAAGCGACGGCUAACUACGUG
rnacentral:rRNA from 1 species